GUCUGGAUAAAAACUUUGCAUCUCAAAUAAAAUUAUUUAGGAGGUUAUACAGAUUUCCAUGUAAACGCUUGCCUUUGGGUUUCACAUAAAGCUCUGCCCAGGGGCGUUUAUGCCUGCCAGGAUGGAAAUGAAAGGUGUAAGCUGCUCCCAGUGCCUAUGUAUGCAUAACACCCACACUGAAGGAGAAAGCUCUCAUCUCUACCAAACUGUUUAAGUAAAUGAAAUGGCAGCAAACAACAGAGAGAUCUCAUACAAUCCCGCAAGUAGAGAUGGGUUUGGCUAUGCCAAUGGUUCAGGAGAGGCCUGAUUCUGUCAUCCUCUGGGUACUGAAUUCAGAGCAUCUGUGGUGUCCUGCACCAAGCCCAACAUCCUAACUUGCCACUGAUUUACAUUACACACAACAUAUUAACCGUGGUAGCCAUCAGACAGCACAGAAAAGUCCACCGUCAACAAGGAAGUUAAGUAUCCUGUGCGCUGGUGCAUGAGCCCACACCUGCAGGCGCUGCAGGAGCUGCCCUACUCGCACGCUCCACUUGGGCGGGUGGCUCUUGACAUGCAGCGCUAUAGGUGAGGACCGACAGCUGAUGGAGCAUCUUUCAGCUGCCUUUCUCAAAGAAAUAUGAUUGAAGUUGGCCAAUAUUAAUAUCUCCUGCCCCAAAGACAAACAAAUCAAUUUUUGCUAGCGCACGGCACAAAAAUCCUGUGUGUUUACCAAUGCUUCCUCUGUUUUCUACUGUCAAAUAUUAUCCUGAGCUAAAGAGAUUUUUCAAUUAUAUUGUUUCUAAAUGACUGUGUAAAUCUGGCAAAAGAGAUAGGGAAAAAUCUGCCCUAUUGCAGAUUCCUGAUCAGGUACAUUGAAAAUGUUUUCUGAUUAGUCCUGUCUGUACCUGAGCAUUUGGACCCCUGUUCAGAGCAGGCUGUGCUGGCAGUUCAGCUUCUGCAGUCCCUCACUGCUACUCAUCCGUUUUCAUAAUGUCACUAGAUCACGGCUCCAUGGUGAACUUCGGGCAUGUGCCCCUUAUGACAUCGACUUGGCUGAGGCAGAAGGCUGUACCCAGGGGAGAAGGAGCCAGCCCAACGGAGGCUUGGCUGCAAUUUUACCCAUUAGAUGUUUGAGAGCAACUCCAUCAACUGUGAUACAUUAAUACACAAGGUGCCAAGCUUUAGCUCAGCUCACCCCCGUUUUACAGGGUGAGACAAAGCACUGAGACUCGGAUGGGGGGAAGGCGAUGUGGCCGGCUCAGAGGGAUCAGCUGCUCUGCCCGCAGCCAGCAGCAGCUCCCACUGCAGCCCCACCACCCCAGAGACAAUACACCUUCAGAGAUCUCAAUCCCCUCCAAGAUCGAAUGAACAACAUUCUUACUUCAGCUUUUGUGAAAGCACGCGCAGGGAUGGAUACUUUGGCAACCCAUUUGUAUUCAUUCAGAUUGUCACAACUGAAUUCUGCUUAUGAGACAGCGCGAGCCCCAGCAAGUCAGUUGACUUUGUAGGUGAAGAUACAGGAAAUCACCUGCUUUUUCUUUUAUCAAAACGUUUGGGUGAUCUGGUUGCUUGGCCACUCAGCCUGGGCUUUGCUCCCCCUUGGCACCAUGACGCAUUGCUCCCCGCUAGAGCUGCCUUUCCAGAAUGUGUGACCAAGACAGCAAGUUAAUUGUGUAUGGGAAACUUUCAUCCUGGCAUCACCAUCUUCUGGGUGCUCAACUUGGCACCACUCAUGUGCUGUUGGGGAGGACUUGUCUGCAGAUGAGGGAAGAUCAACUUGAAACCAGCGUCCCUGCUGGAAGAACCGUCGUGGAAGAGGGAACAUAAAUCAUGCUUCUUAUGCAGCUAUAACAGCUCAAGUGCAUCUCACGAUGCUGAAGGAAGAGCACUUUUCCAAUAAAUCCAAGGGUAAGCAAGGGCUGGAGGUUGCUGAGUCAGCUAUUUGGAGCACAAACACCAACUGCUCCUUACUGCUGGUAAACUGCGUCCGGUCGGUCAAGAGCGAGCGUCACACACUGCAGCCCUGCUCAGUGCAAAUGUCACAGGAAUCUCUCUACAGAUCCUGGUAGCCCCCAAAAAGGACUGCCUGGGGAAACCACUGUGUGUGCCGACCUGCACUACUCACGUUUUUUGCGUCUGCAGCCGCCCACCGCACUGCAGUUAAGCAGGGGGGGCGUCCUGUCGGUGGCAGAAGGAACAUUUGGUGCCUGGGCGAUAGGUAAACACGCAUCGCUUCAGCCCCAGCAAGACAAACAGACAGCUAUACAGUGCCAGGGAAAAGGGGGAAAUUCCAUCUCAUGUUUUGCUUUAUGCACUUUUACAAAAAAUGCUGCUGGAUUUCCUCCGAGGAGCUCCCACGAGUCAAGGCAUGGCGGUGUGAGGACAACGGGCUGGUUAUAACCAUGCCAGGCAUCACGCAGCCCUCUAACAGCAUGCUCUGCUCCGCUAUCUGUGGCCCUCAGUAGACACCAGGCUGUGGCUGGAGAUGGGGCUGAGAUGCUCCGUGCACCCAGACCUGAGCGAUGCCAAUGGGCAUCUCCAGCAAAUCCCCGUACCACGCUACUGACAGGCGAGUGACUCACUGAAAUUUGCUUUCAAACCAAAAUAAAUGGAAAAGAACUAUCAUGGCAUUUUGUAUACACGAAGCCAGGACAUACUGCCUAAUUUCUUAAUUUUUGCCAAAUUCCACUAACACGCUACUGCUUAUAACAUAAGCCACAGACAAUCCCCAAAGGAGCAAGUUCCUGCAGGCGCUACAUGUCCGUCCGCACCCCCCAAGGCAGCUCAGCACCCU